UACGUAGGGGGCAAGCGUUGUCCGGAUUUAUUGGGCGUAAAGAGCGUGUAGGCGGUUAUACAGGUCCGCUGUGAAAUCUCGAGGCUCAACUUCGAGCUGUCGGUGGAAACUAUCUGGCUAGAGUCCGGAAGAGGAGAAUGGAAUUCCUGGUGUAGCGGUGAAAUGCGCAGAUAUCAGGAAGAACACCCGUGGCGAAGGCGGUUCUCUGGGACGGUACUGACGCUGAGACGCGAAAGCGUGGGGAGCGAACAGG
rnacentral:rRNA from 1 species